rnacentral:rRNA from 1 species
CAGCAGCCGCGGUAAUACGUAGGGUGCAAGCGUUAAUCGGAACUAUUGGGCGUAAAGCGAGCGCAGGCGGUUAGAUAAGUCUGAAGUUAAAGGCUGUGGCUUAACCAUAGUACGCUUUGGAAACUGUUUAACUUGAGUGCAAGAGGGGAGAGUGGAAUUCCAUGUGUAGCGGUGAAAUGCGUAGAUAUAUGGAGGAACACCGGUGGCGAAAGCGGCUCUCUGGCUUGUAACUGACGCUGAGGCUCGAAAGCGUGGGGAGCAAACAGGAUUAGAGACCCCCGUAGUCCCUGUCUCUUAUCAA